rnacentral:rRNA from 1 species
GAUGAACGCUGGCGGCGUGCCUAAUACAUGCAAGUCGAGCGAACGGACGAGAAGCUUGCUUCUCUGUUGUUAGCGGCGGACGGGUGAGUAACACGUGGAUAACCUACCUAUAAGACUGGGAUAACUUCGGGAAACCGGCGCUAAUACCGGAUGAUAUUUUGAACCGCAUGGGUGAAAAGUGAAAUACGGUGUUGCGGGCACGUAUUGAUGGAUCCGCGCUGCAUUAGCUAGUUGGUAAGGUAACGGCUUACCAAGGCAACGAGGCAUAGCCGAACGCAGAGAGUGAUCGGCCGCCCUGGAACGGGGACACGGUCAAGACUCCUACGGGAGGCAGCAGUAGGGAAUCUUCGGCAAUGGGCGAAAGCCUGACGGAGCAACGCCGAGUGAGUGAUGAAGGUCUCGGGAUCGUAAAACUGUGUUAUUAGGGAAGAACCUAUGUGUACGUAGCUGUGCAGAUCUUGACGGUACCUAAUCAGAAAGCAACGGCUAACUACGUG